GAUGAACGCUCGCGAUAGGCUUAACACAUGCAAGUCGAGGGGCAGCAUGGUCUUAGCUUGCUAAGACUGAUGGCGACCGGCGCACGGGUGCGUAACGCGUAUGCAACUUGCCUCACAGAGGGGGGUAACCCGUCGAAAGUCGGACUAAUACCGCGUACACUUGGGAUAGGGCAUCCUGACCCAAGGAAAUGAAAUUCGCUGUAAGAUAGGCAUGCGUCCCAUUAGCUAGUUGGUGAGGUAACGGCUCACCAAGGCGACGAUGGGUAGGGGAACUGAGAGGUUGAACCCCCACACUGGUACUGAGACACGGACCAGAAUCCUACGGGAGGCAGCAGUGAGGAAUAUUGGUCAAUGGGCGAGAGCCUGAACCAGCCAAGUCGCGUGAAGGAUGACUGUCUUAUGGAUUGUAAACUUCUUUUAUACGGGAAUAACAAGAGUCACGUGUGGCUCCCUGCAUGUACCGUAUGAAUAAGCAUCGGCUAACUCCGUG
rnacentral:rRNA from 1 species